AUGUGUGUACCAAAAAACCACGAAGGAAUGGGAUUCCGUGAUAUCCACUGUUUCAAUCUGGCUUUACUUGCUAAAUAGGCAUGGCGUCUACUUGAUAACCCUAACUCCUUGUGUGCCACUAUUCUAAGAGCCAAGUAUUAUCCUGAUGGCGAUUUGCUGAAUUCCAAGCCAAAGCAUGGAGCUUCUUUCACCUGGCAAAGCAUUAUGGCAGGCAUAAGUACUCUGAAACAUGGCUAUGUUUGGUGA
rnacentral:rRNA from 1 species